AGUGAACGCUGGCGGUAGGCCUAACACAUGCAAGUCGAACGGCAGCACAGUAAGAGCUUGCUCUUACGGGUGGCGAGUGGCGGACGGGCGAGGAAUACAUCGGAAUCUACUUUUUCGUGGGGGAUAACGUAGGGAAACUUACGCUAAUACCGCAUACGACCUACGGGUGAAAGCAGGGGAUCUUCGGACCUUGCGCGAUUGAAUGAGCCGAUGUCGGAUUAGCUAGUUGGCGGGGUAAAGGCCCACCAAGGCGACGAUCCGUAGCUGGUCUGAGAGGAUGAUCAGCCACACUGGAACUGAGACACGGUCCAGACUCCUACGGGAGGCAGCAGUGGGGAAUAUUGGACAAUGGGCGAAAGCCUGAUCCAGCCAUACCGCGUGGGUGAAGAAGGCCUUCGGGUUGUAAAGCCCUUUUGUUGGGAAAGAAAAGCAGCAGGUUAAUACCCCGCUGUUCUGACGGUACCCAAAGAAUAAGCACCGGCUAACUUCGUG
rnacentral:rRNA from 1 species